rnacentral:rRNA from 1 species
GAUGAACGCUAGCGACAGGCUUAACACAUGCAAGUCGAGGGGCAGCACGGGAGUAGCAAUACAACUGGUGGCGACCGGCGCACGGGUGAGUAACGCGUAUGCAACCUACCUAUCAGAGGGGAAUAACCCGGCGAAAGUCGGACUAAUACCGCAUAAAACAGGGGCACCGCAUGGUGAUAUUUGUUAGAGAAAUUCGCUGAUAGAUGGGCAUGCGUUCCAUUAGGUAGUUGGUGGGGUAACGGCUCACCAAGCCGACGAUGGAUAGGGGAACUGAGAGGUUGGUCCCCCACACUGGUACUGAGACACGGACCAGACUCCUACGGGAGGCAGCAGUGAGGAAUAUUGGUCAAUGGGCGAGAGCCUGAACCAGCCAAGUCGCGUGAAGGAAGAAGGAUCUAUGGUUCGUAAACUUCUUUUGCAGGGGAAUAAAGUGCAGGACGUGUCCUGUUUUGUAUGUACCCUGAGAAUAAGGAUCGGCCAACUCCGUGCCAGCCGCCGCAGUAACAC